rnacentral:rRNA from 4 species
ACGGUGAAUACGUUCCCGGGCCUUGUACACACCGCCCGUCACACCAUGGGAGUGGGUUGCAAAAGAAGUAGGUAGCUUAACCUUCGGGAGGGCGCUUACCACUUUGUGAUUCAUGACUGGGGUGAAGUCGUAACAAGGUAACCGUAGGGGAACCUGCGGUUGGAUCACCUCCUUACCUUAAAGAA